rnacentral:tRNA from 2 species
GCCGGGGUGGCGGAAUUGGUAGACGCAAGGGACUUAAAAUCCCUUGGGCUCUUUAGCCCGUGCCGGUUCGAUUCCGGCCCUCGGUAC